GUGCUCGCUUAGGCAGCACAUAUACUAAAAUUGGAACGAUACAGAGAAUAUUAGCAUGGCACCUGUGCAAGGAUGACAUGCAAAUUCCUGAAGUGUUCCAUAUUUUU
rnacentral:snRNA from 1 species